GGCGGACGGGUGAGUAACGCGUAGGAAUCUGCCCAGUAGUGGGGGGACAACCCGGGGAAACCCGGGCUAAUACCGCAUACGCCCUACGGGGGAAAGCGGGGGAUCUUCGGACCUCGCGCUAUUGGAUGAGCCUGCGUCGGAUUAGCUUGUUGGUGAGGUAAUGGCUCACCAAGGCGACGAUCCGUAGCUGGUCUGAGAGGACGAUCAGCCACACUGGGACUGAGACAUGGCCCAG
rnacentral:rRNA from 1 species